rnacentral:rRNA from 1 species
AUUGAACGCUGGCGGCAUGCCUUACACAUGCAAGUCGAACGGCAGCAUGAUCUAGCUUGCUAGAUUGAUGGCGAGUGGCGAACGGGUGAGUAAUACAUCGGAACGUGCCCUGUAGUGGGGGAUAACUAGUCGAAAGAUUAGCUAAUACCGCAUACGACCUGAGGGUGAAAGUGGGGGACCGCAAGGCCUCAUGCUAUAGG